GAUGAACGCUAGCUACAGGCUUAACACAUGCAAGUCGAGGGACCGGCGCACGGGUGAGUAACACGUAUCCAACCUGCCCUUUACUCGGGGAUAGCCUUUCGAAAGAAAGAUUAAUACCCGAUAUAAAGGUUGGGGAUGCGUUCCAUUAGGUUGUUGGUGAGGUAACGGCCAACCAAGCAUUCGAUGGAUAGGGGUUCUGAGAGGAAGGUCCCCCACAGUGGAACUGAGACACGGUCCAGAAUCGUACGGGAGGCAGGAGUGGGGAAUAUUGCACAAUGGGCGUUAGCCUGAACCAGCCAAGUAGCGUGAAGGAUGAAGGCUUAUGGGUCGUAAACUUCUGUUAUAUAAGAAUAUGUAUUAUAUGAAUAAGGAUCGGCUAACUCCGUGCCAGCCGCCGCGGUAAUAC
rnacentral:rRNA from 1 species